rnacentral:rRNA from 1 species
GAUGAACGCUGGCGGCGUGCCUUAUACAUGCAAGUCAAACGGGUGUAGCAAUACACCAGUGGCGAACGGGUGAGUAAUACAUAGGUACUUUGCCUUGGCGGAGGAUAACCAGCCGAAAGGUUGGAUAAUACUCCAUGUGAUCGCAAGAUCAAAGUCGCAAGACACCAAGGAAUAGGCCUGUGUCCUAUCAGCUUGUUGGCGGGGUAAAAGCCCACCAAGGCUAUGACGGGUAGCUGGUCUGAGAGGAUGAUCAGCCACACUGGGACUGAGACACGGCCCAGACUCCUACGGGAGGCAGCAGUGGGGAAUUUUGGACAAUGGGCGCAAGCCUGAUCCAGCAAUGCCGCGUGCAGGAUGAAGGCCUUCGGGUUGUAAACUGCUUUUGUACGGAACGAAAAGCUCUGGGUUAAUACCUCGGGGUCAUGACGGUACCGUAAGAAUAAGCACCGGCUAACUACGUGCCAGCCGCCGCCGUAA